GGACUGGUAUUGACGCUGAGGUGCGAAAGCGUGGGAGCAAACAGGAUUAGAUACCCUGGUAGUCCACGCCGUAAACGAUGAUAACUAGCUGCUGGGCUCAUGGAGCUUCGGUGGCGCACGUAACGCAUUAAGUUAUCCGCCUGGGGAGUACGGUCGCAAGAUUAAAACUCAAAGGAAUUGACGGGGGCCUGCACAAGCGGUGGAGGAUGGGGUUUAAUUCUAAGCAACGCGCAGAACCUUACCAGCGU
rnacentral:rRNA from 1 species